ensembl:miRNA
UUUUGCAGGUCAGGCUCCUGGCAGGAGUCCAGCUCUCAGCUGGUUUCAGGCUCUAGCCAGGGGCUUGACUGCAAUGUUUCUCAUUA